rnacentral:rRNA from 1 species
AUUGAACGCUGGCGGCAUGCCUUACACAUGCAAGUCGAACGGCAGCACGGGUGCUUGCACCUGGUGGCGAGUGGCGAACGGGUGAGUAAUACAUCGGAACGUACCUUAUCGUGGGGGAUAACGCAGCGAAAGCUGUGCUAAUACCGCAUACGCCCUGAGGGGGAAAGCGGGGGAUCGCAAGACCUCGCGCGAUUAGAGCGGCCGAUGCCUGAUUAGCUUGUUGGUGGGGUAAAAGCCCACCAAGGCGACGAUCAGUAGCUGGUCUGAGAGGACGAUCAGCCACACUGGGACUGAGACACGGCCCAGACUCCUACGGGAGGCAGCAGUGGGGAAUUUUGGACAAUGGGGGCAACCCUGAUCCAGCAAUGCCGCGUGAGUGAAGAAGGCCUUCGGGUUGUAAAGCUCUUUUGUCAGGGAAGAAACACCGGCUCUAACACAGUCCGGGAAUGACGGUACCUGAAGAAUAAGCACCGGCUAACUACGUGCCAGCAGCCGCCGUAA